GGGGCUUAGAGAGCACACGUGGAAAGGCCUCGACCUUUGGGUUCCUAUGGCUCGAAAGCGCUUGGCUGCUGCCCGGGACCCGAGAAUGAAAACAGAAAAUUGCUUCCCAGUCCAGAAUCUCCAAAUCCCCCAAGACCAUCAGAUUCACUUGGUUAGAAAUCCAGACUUCAGUUUCCCACUCCUGGCCCACUAAGUCGAAGUCUCUGCGGUGAGGACCCAGAAUCUCCAUUUAACCAGGUUCUCUUUCCCAUCUGCAAGGCAUAUGGCAAUGGCAGACAUCCUGUGAUGCCUGAGGUUCAGCCAGGAGCAGCGUCUUCCACUCCUUCCUUGUUUGCAGAAUUAGAGCUUGGACCCCUGAGGACUGCGGAGGAAGAACUCAACAGACUUCGCCCAGCCCCCAGACCAUGCUUACAGCAUGUGAAAGUUUCUG